AUUGAACGCUGGCGGCAUGCCUUACACAUGCAAGUCGAACGGCAGCACGGGAGCAAUCCUGGUGGCGAGUGGCGAACGGGUGAGUAAUAUAUCGGAACGUGCCCAGUCGUGGGGAUAACGUAGCGAAAGCUACGCUAAUACCGCAUACGAUCUACGGAUGAAAGCGGGGGAUCGCAAGACCUCGCGCGAUUGGAGCGGCCGAUAUCAGAUUAGGUAGUUGGUGAGGUAAAGGCUCACCAAGCCGACGAUCUGUAGCUGGUCUGAGAGGACGACCAGCCACACUGGGACUGAGACACGGCCCAGACUCCUACGGGAGGCAGCAGUGGGAAUUUGGACAAUGGGCGCAAGCCUGAUCCAGCAAUGCCGCGUGCAGGAUGAAGGCC
rnacentral:rRNA from 1 species